UGGAGUGUCCACUGUGGCAGAGAUGGAGGCUGCAUAUGGAGACCAAAGCAUGAGCUUCUGCUUACAGAGGCUGAUAUAGUGACUGCCACCUCUAAAUAUUCAGCUACCUCUAAACAGAGACCAGUGCUCAGUCCCUGAUAGGGCACUCUUCCUUGAGAGGACCAACCAGCAACUGAUGGCAGGUUAACUACAUGAGGCCCCUUCCAUCAGGGCCAGCAGGAAUAGGGCUGGAGUCCUGGUCGCCAAAGGGGGAGCACUCUUUCCAGAGGACACAGCAAGGUCCAGCUGAACCACAAGCUAAGCUCUCAUCAGGGCGCUUUGGACUCCUCUUGUCCAUGGACCAAUAGGCAAGAAUUGGAGUCACCAUCUUGGCAGAGGAAGAGUAGUCCAUGGGAAACAUGGAGGAGCUGCUCCCUGAACCUGCAUGGAGACACCGAUUUGCACAGUUCAAGGUGUAACUGUGAUGGCCAUGAAAAUGCACCACACAGAUCUCUUACUGUAAGGAACAGAGUUGAUUGACAGACCCAGCCACUGCUCCUCUGGAUGGACCAUCAUAUUCACACUGAGGCUACUCUUUCUGGGCUGCUCUCAGCUGGGGAUUGACGAGUCAAAUGUCGGGAGGAACUGAACCACCUGCGCACAGCUGGCACAGCCUGCUGGGAUGGAAGGUGUUCACCUGCAGAACUCAUGCCCGUCUGGAGGGGGCACCACUCAACAACGUCCCUGGCCUAUGGUGGCUGUGAGGGAAUGGUAGCCCAAGAUUAUUCGAACUUCUAAUUUGU
rnacentral:lncRNA from 1 species